rnacentral:lncRNA from 1 species
CGGCCACUGCCUGUGGGCACGGGCGGGAGCCCCACGGAGGCGCUGGCUGCGCAGUCCGGGUGGACUGAGGGCCACCGAGCCUUCCCGGGUUCGGGUGUGAAGUUCCGGUGAGGGAGAAGAAUGUUCCGGAAGCCGCUCCUGGGGCCCAGCGGCUGAAAGAGCAGCACGGCGGUGAGCUCCGCUCUCACCAGCACAGCGCUGUUGGGUGGCGCUGGGUCCGUCCACGAGCCCGAUUUACUCCUGCCGCGAUUUCGAGGUCUGAUGUGACGUCUUGAUUCACGUCUGCGCUGCUCAUCUUGGGCUUGCGGGUCAUUCUCCUGUCCACCCCCAUACUGUGAACGCUUCCAUGUGGUGAGGGUGUCAGCGCUCUGCUGGCCACGUGGAGACUGCAACUGUCCGCGCCCUGCCGAGCCGUGGCACCUGCUCUGUCCACCUUGGACAGCAGACGGAAUAGGCGUUUCUCCAGAGACGGACAGAUGACUGAAGAGCGUCCGAAAAGGUUUUCCGCAUCACGAGUCACAAAGAAAUGCAAACCAUAAAGCAGAAUGGUUUCAUUCUGCUCACACACACUCCAGUGGCUACCACAGAAGAAAACAGGAAAUAAAGGUUGGAGCAGAAGUGGGCAGCCGGAGCACCUGCCCACGAUUUAUGCAAAAGGACGCAAGAGGGGGUCGUGCUGUGGAAAUUAGCAUGGCAGUUCCUCAAAAGACUGAACACAGAAUUACCACAUGACCCAGCACCCCGCCUUGGGGUACCCCAAAGAAAGUAUGAUCUAAAAGAGGUAUUGUGUAGCCAACUUCGUAAUUCACAAUAUCGAAAAGAUCAAAGCAAGCCAAGUGUCCAAGGGUAAGCAAAUGGAUAAGCAAAGUAUGCUGCACAUGACAGUGAAUAUUCAUCAGCCUCCAGAAGGAGAUCCUGUCACCUGCUGCUUCGGGUGAACUUGGAGGACUUCACACUCUAGGAAAUAAGCCAGACCCCAAAAAGCAAACGCAGUGUGAUUCCACUUCCCGGAUGUCCCGAGUGGCCAAAGUCACCCAAAGGGAGAGUAGGCGAUGGCUGCGGGGCGGAGGACGGAGGGAAACCGGGGAGGGAGUCUCCUCACCCAGCAGAGUGCAGACGCAGCUGGGUCUUGUGAGCCCCGAAAGCCAGCACUGGCUCGCCAAGGGACCCCGUCUUCUGCAGGGGCGUGGUUAGAGAGGACGGCCAGGAGGGAGCACUCCCAGAGGUCGGGCAGAGCCAGGCAGCGGUGGCAAGGGGACGGGGUGUUUCUGGCCCAGAAAACCACAGCUCCGGCCUGGCCAAGGACACGGCAGCCUCCGAAGGGUGGGCGCAGAGGGCGGGACAGCGCAGGCACAGCCCACCCUGCUCAGCGGCGCAGCCACCCAGCCGCUUCCUCUAGGGCUCGGUAGUGGGAGCUGCACCCAGGAAACGGCCGACUCCCCCGCCCCGCCCCAGGCACCCAGGUUCCCACUUUCUGUCCCCACGAGUUGACUGCUCAAGGGACCUCACUAUUUGGAAUCACACAGAAUUUGUCUUUUUGUGACUGGCUUUUUUCAUUUAGUACAAUGUCCUCAAGGUUCAAACAUGUGGUAUCUCAGAUCAGAAUUUCCAUCCUCUUUGCGACUGAGUAAUAUUCUGCUGUUGGGAUAGACGAUGUUUUGUGUGUCUGCCCAGGCGUGGUGGGCGGGAUACUUGGUAGCUUUCACCUCUUGGCUGCUGUAUCUAAGGCGGCUAUGAAUGUGCCGGUCAAGGACCUCUUGAAGACCCUGCUCUCAGUUCUUUUGGGCCUAUGGCCCACAGGGAAUGGCUGGAUACUGGUCCAGCCUGUUCUGCAAUUGCUCUUGACCCAGAAAAGUGCUUGAAAAUAUUGGACUGUGGCUGGGAAGAAGUCUGGAGAGGAACUCUUGACCCUUGACAAGAGCUCUACAUGCAUAUUCUCAAUAGAGCUAGGAACCUUCAUGAUAUUCACGCCACAGGGACUUGGAGAGGUGAAGCAAGACAUGCAAGGCUGAGAUUUCCAAGGCGUGUGAAGUAGAGGUCUUCAUUGCAAGGGGCAUUGACUGGCUCUAAGCUGAGGGGUGAUGCAGUCAAAUUCCCCCUGUGGCUGCAGGUGCAGGCUACCCAGCGGGGAGAGGAGGAUGCUGGUGAGGCAACCAUGGUAAAGCCCAGGACACAGGCAGCAGGGAAUGCAGGUGUGGUCAUGGACAUGCAGCGGUGGAAGGUUAACGCAUAAAAUGCGGGGAUCAAUGAAGUCCUUGAGGCCCCAGGUUCCCUGCCUGAACACCACGCGACUGAAACACAGCCCUUGUCCUGGAGGGGGCCCACAUUUAAACAGAAACGUUCGGCAGUUGUUGGGCAAGACUCUCCCAGAGCCGGGGCGAGGGAAGCCCCGUGUCUCCCACAGGUGGAGCACAUUACAUCCUUGGCCCGGAGGACCCUGGGAGGGAGAGGACAAGGACACAGGCGGGAAGCAGCAGGAAGCACCGUGGAAACGGCUCUGUCUCAGUCCUUCACAGUCCUAGCUGCUCCGGCGUGCAAGAGAAUACAUCACCUGGGCUGUUGCAGCUCCUGGGUCUCUCUUUAAAUAAAAUGGCCUCAUUCUUCCAUAAUAAAAGGAGUAUGUGCCCAUUCUGGCUACUUUAGAAAUCACAGAAGAAGGAGGAAAAUAAGGAAGUAAAAAAAUAAGAAUCACCUCCAAGAAGACCAACUGGAAGUGAGCUGGAGCAUUCUGUAGUCUUUUCAUCCAUCUUUUCCCCUGCAAAUAUAUUCAUAAAAACCAUUUUUCUUUUUUUUGUGGUACCGGGGAUCAAACUUGGGACCUUGCGCUUGCAAGGCAGGCACCAGAACCACUGAGCUAAAUCCUUGGCCCC